CCCUGCCUGGCCUCGACACCGACACCGAGGGCGGGAUCCAGGCGUGCCCGGGGCUCGAACGGCCCCCUCGGCUCCCCCACUGGAUCCCAACUUGGCUGCCGGGCCCAGGCCAGUGUUGCCUGCAGGCUUGUCGUUUCGGGGACGCUGGUUUCAGGGCUUCUCUGAUUUUCCACAAAGGCGGGGAACCAGUGUCUCAGGAAAGAUCCCCAAACCUGUCAUCUGGGCAGAAGCCUUUUGGUCCUCAUGGCAUAAGCCAUUCCCCUUCAAGAACCACUUGGUUGCUUUGCUCCUUCUCCAGUUGUCCGUGGGGGCCUCCUCCUCGUAUUCCGGGCUGUGUGUGCUUCCUGCUUCCUGUGCCAGAAAGUCAAGCACAAGUUUCUUAGGGGGAAAAUACAUGAACUAACAAGAUGGGGACAACCAAGCUUUCUCCCUGCCCAGGACAGAGGCUCGGAGAGAGAGCUGUGAUUACGACGCAGCAAACUGGACACUAAUUAUAAGCCACACAACUCCCUAGGUGCUGUUCCUUUGUCCUUGGUGCCAAAGCCUCUGCUGCCAAUGUCAAGUGGAGAAUUGCAAGUUCACUGGCAUGCAGCUUUCAGAAGCCCCUCAGCAGCUGGGCAGAAAAGUCCAGGGGAUGCCAAGGACAGGCUGAGCCCUAGGGGCUAGCAUAAGCAACGCAUCCUGGUCUCGACUGUUGGAAGAAUGGGCCUAGGGAUGCAUUUAUUUUGGCACAAUUUUAUUUAAGAAAGCCCCAACCAUGUGUUCAGGCAACAGAUGUCCAGGCGAGGCCCGGGGAGAUGGAGAGGAGUGCUUGCCCCUCUGACUCUUCCUCAUUUGAGACUUGCCCCAGCUUCCAGACCUCGUGUAAAAUGACCCUGCUCCUCCUCUGCCACAAGCUAUGACCCAAACUCCAUCACUCAAAUUGUCUCUCCCCAGAACUGAAAUCCAGAUGGUUUCUGGUUAGAUAUAUAUGGGUGCAGGACCUGAAAGUCAUGUCGAUUCCAGGGUGAGGGCACCAUCAGACCCAGCUUUAAAUAUAUACAAAUGUGGAGGUAUCUAUCCCUUCGAUGUAUUCAAAGCCCUUUCCAGGGCCCCUGGGUGGCUCAGUUGGUUAAGCAUCUGCCUUCGGCUCAGGCCGUAAUCUCAGAGUCCUG